rnacentral:rRNA from 1 species
UACGUAGGGUGCGAGCGUUGUUCGGAAUUACUGGGCGUAAAGGGCGCGUAGGCGGCCCACUAAGUCAGACGUGAAAUCCCCCGGCUUAACCUGGGAACUGCGUCUGAUACUGGAGGGCUUGAGUAUGGGAGAGGGAUGUAGAAUUCCAGGUGUAGCGGUGAAAUGCGUAGAUAUCUGGAGGAAUACCGGUGGCGAAGGCGGCAUCCCGGACCAUUACUGACGCUGAGGCGCGAAAGCUAGGGGAGCAAACGGG